AUACAGUAAGGACAUAUGAAACAACUUGGAGGUGACUAAAUUUAGAAACCUCACUCAAUAAUGAAGUCAACCAUCUACUUUAAAGCUUCAGUAGCAUAUAGCACUGUAGACUAGAGGGCUAUAUAAAGUGUAGUUCUGUAGCUUAAUAUUUAAUAACUCACAGCCUUCACCAGGUGAAGGAACUGAAAACAAGAGACUUCUUUUGCUGUUCCAUCAUUGCACAAAAAUUUUAACAGUCCAGAGUAAUUCUAUGAAGGACUGCACUGGAAAAAAAAAAAAAGCUGUUAGAAAAUCAAGUGGCUCCUCCAACCCAGCAGAGCACCACAUGUAGUCUAAACAGGCCUGAAGGCACGAAGCCAGAAAUCCCUCUGACGUGAGCAUAGAUCCACGAGACUGUGUUGGUUUAAACAAAAUUCUUCUGUGAACAAAGUAUUCAUACUCCUUCAUCUUUUUAACAUUUUGUUAUGUUGCAGCCUUUUGCUAAAACUGUUCCCUCAUCACCUUCCCUACACCAUCCCAGCGGUGAAGCAUGGUGCUGGCAGCAUCAUGCUGUGUGGGUGUUUUUCAGCGCCAGGGACAGGGAGACUGGUCAGGGUUGAGGGAGAGCUGAACGAAGCCAAGUACAGAGAGAGAAAACCGGGUCCAGAGAGCUUGAGCCCUCAGACUGGGCCAAAGAUUCACCUUCCAACAGGACAAUGACCUUAAGCACACAGUCAUGACAACGCAGGCCUCGCUUAGAGACAACUCUGUGAAUGAGUGGCGCAGCCAGAACCCUGACUUAAUCAUCUCUGGAGAGACCUGAAAAUGGUUGUCCACUUACGAUCCCCAUCUAACCUGACAUAGCUUGAGAGAAUCUGCAGAGAGGAAUGACAGAAACUCUUCAAAUCCAGGUGUGCUAAGCUUCUGCAUCAUCCGCAAGAAGACUUGAGGCUGUAAUCGCUGCCAAAGAUAUCACUGGCAGGUCCACAUUAGAGGCUGGUAUGUCAGUUCAAAUACAGCAGGAGGAGUAACUUGACUCCAGCAGUGGAUAUCCCUCCUAGCACAAGCAGAAGGUGGAACUUGACUUACCCCAACUUUGGAAGUCCCAGUGAAGCUCCAAGUAAAAAUCACCAAGCUGCAAAUGAAGACAGAGAAAACUUAAUCACAAGUGAAACUGCAUGGGUGGAGAAGGUGGAAACACAAACGUAUUCACAAUUAAAAUGCUGUAUAUCUAAAUGAUAACUCUAGUGAUAUUUGUAGAUUUGUCUUACUGUCAACAAAUCUCACGAAAAGAUCAUACAGGAGUAAAUAGUACAUUUGUUGGGGACUAUUUUCAGCAGUGUAUUAAUCCACAUUUACUGCCCUAGUAAGUAUGUAAAGCACCAGGAGGGUGUAUGUGGAAGUGACUUAAAUAAUCAGUGCCCAUGUUCAUGGUAAUGAAGGAACAUGUCACACAGUGUAACAGUGUGGGUCACUGAUGUGUUUUAAUAGUUCUGAACAACAAUGGAUGUCUAUGGCAAAGAGGAAUAAGCUAUUACAGGCUUUAGAUACACAGACAAUAUUUAUUAUUAGCACCUAUUCAUUGCUGUUUUUGGUCUUUUGAUGGGAUUUAUUGACAACAAGAAAGAUACAGACUAUGGCCAUUUAAAAUCUGUAAUUGUAGAAAAAUGUGCUCUUUGGAGUGGAAAAACGAAUAACUGUUUUUAUGUCUAUGCAACAGUGAAAAUGAGAAACUACUCCCAUUUUACAAACAAUAAACAAGACUUCUUUGAAGAACAAAAAUCAAAAUGCCGUACCAAAGCCUUUCAGUCUAGACGAAACAUGAGUAAACAUGAGCCUCUAUGUCUG